rnacentral:tRNA from 1 species
GGGCGAGUGGCGGAAUUGGCAGACGCGCACGGUUCAGGUCCGUGUCCCCGUAAGGGGGUGGAGGUUCAAGUCCUCUCUCGCCCA